rnacentral:snoRNA from 1 species
AAGUCAUGAUAUGGACAAUGGUUGAUGUAACUCCUAAACCUCUCCCAAGCUUCCCCAAAGCUUUCAUUUUUCUGCUGGGUAAAGCUUGAUAUCUGGGUUCUCAGCUU